UGGGGAAUUUUCCGCAAUGGGCGAAAGCCUGGCGGAGCAAUGCCGCGUGGAGGUGGAAGGCCUACGGGUCGUCAACUUCUUUUCUCGGAGAAGAAACAAUGACGGUAUCUGAGGAAUAAGCAUCGGCUAACUCUGUGGCAG
rnacentral:rRNA from 1 species